UGGGGAAUUUUCCGCAAUGGGCGAUAGCCUGACGGAGCAAUGCCGCGUGGAGCUGGAAGGCCUACGGGUCGUCAACUUCUUUUCUCGGGGAAGAAACAAUGACGGUAUCUGAGGAAUAAGCAUCGGCUAACUCUGUGCCAG
rnacentral:rRNA from 1 species